rnacentral:snRNA from 1 species
GUAUUCAUUUUGGCAGCACGUAUACUGAAAUUGGAACCACAUAGAGCACUUUAGCAUGGCUCUUGUGCAAGAAUGACAAGCACAUUCAUGAGGCUGAGGCAUUCCAC